GGGCGGUUAGCUCAGGUGGGAGAGCGCUACCUUCGCACGGUAGAGGUCGCCGGUUCAAGUCCGGCACCGUCCACCA
rnacentral:tRNA from 2 species